AGCAGCCGCGGUAAUUCCAGCUCCAAUAGCGUAUAUUAAAGUUGCUGCAGUUAAAAAGCUCGUAGUUGGAUUUCGGGACCAAUAUGUCGGUCGUGCUUCGGUACGUACUGUCAUAAUUGGUUUCUCCCUUCUGAAGAACCUUGAUGUCAUUAAUUUGGUGUCUUGGGGAAUCAGGACUGUUACUUUGAAAAAUUAGAGUGUUUAAAGCAGGCUCGCGCUUGAAUACAUUAGCAUGGAAUAAUGAAAUAGGACGUUUGAUUCUAUUUUGUUGGUUUCUAGGAUUCGACGUAAUGAUUAAUAGGGAUAGUUGGGGGCAUUAGUAUUCAAUUGUCAGAGGUGAAAUUCUUGGAUUUAUUGAAGA
rnacentral:sRNA from 1 species